rnacentral:rRNA from 1 species
GUGGGGAAUAUUGGGCAAUGGGGGAAACCCUGACCCAGCAAUGCCGCGUGAGAGAAGAAGGUUUUCGGAUUGUAAAUCUCUGUCCUUGGGGAAGAAAAAAAUGACGGUACCCAGGGAGGAAGCCCCGGCUAACUACGUGCCAGCAGCCGCGGUAAUACGUAGGGGGCGAGCGUUGUCCGGAAUUACUGGGCGUAAAGGGCGCGUAGGCGGCCUGGUAAGUCUUGUGUGAAAACCCUGCUUUCAAGGCAGGAGGUGCACGGGAAACUAUCGGGCUUGAGUGCAGGAGAGGGAAGUGGAAUUCCAAGUGUAGCGGUGAAAUGCGUAGAGAUUUGGAGGAACACCAGUGGCGAAGGCGACUUUCUGGACUGUAACUGACGCUGAGGCGCGAGAGCGUGGGGAGCAAACAGGAUUAGAUACCCCUGUAGUCC